rnacentral:misc_RNA from 1 species
AAGUUCCACCAGCCCCAGUCUGCGCCGGUCAACGUGCCGGUUUUGUCGAUGGCAAUGAGGAGGAGGCAUAGCGAAUUCGACGAGAUUGACAAGGACGAGGAGAAAGGGGAUGGGGAGAUGCUUCCGCCUCACGAGAUUGUGGCGAGGUCGCAGUCGCCGAUGGUGGCGUGCUCGGUUUUGGAAGGUGUUGGGAGGACGCUCAAAGGGAGGGAUCUUAGACAGGGGAAAACAAUUGAUUACUUUGUGACUUGAAGCUGAUGCAAGCCACCGUCAGACUGCACUAUGAGACUUGAACACGAGCACUGUCUUCUGUAUAUUUUUUUCACUUGAUUUCAUCAUCAAUUUCCAUAGUUGGAGAUAUGUUUGGCAACUUGCUCUAAUAUGACAAAUGAAUUGGAACUCCAUCACCUAAUUCUGCUGCUUUUUAUUUUAUUUUAUUUUAUU